AGAGUUUGAUCCUGGCUCAGGAUGAACGCUGGCGGCGUGCCUAAUACAUGCAAGUCGAGCGGAAACACUUCGGGUGUCGAGCGGCGGACGGGUGAGUAACGCGUGGGAACAUACCCCCAACUGAGGGAUAAGCCAUCGAAAGAUGGUCUAAUACCGCAUACGGUCUACGGAUUAAAGUCUUCGGACGGUUUGGGAAUGGCCUGCGUCUGAUUAGCUAGUUGGUGAGGUAAAUGCUUACCAAGGCUAUGAUCAGUAGCUGGUUUGAGAGGAUGAUCAGCCACACUGGAACUGAGACACGGUCCAGACUUCUACGGAAGGCAGCAGUAGGGAAUCUUCCACAAUGGACGAAAGUCUGAUGGAGCAACGCCGCGUGCAGGAUGAAUGCCUUAGGGUUGUAAACUGCUUUUAUAGGUGAAGAAUAUGACGGUAACCUAUGAAUAAGGAUCGGCUAACUCCGUGCCAGCAGCCGCGGUCAGACGGAGGAUCCAAGCGUUAUUCGGAAUGACUGGGCGUAAAGAGUUGCGUAGGUGGCUUUGUAAGCGUGUGAUGAAAUUUUGGGGCUCAACCCCGAGACUGUUAUGCGAACUGCAAGGCUUGAGUAUGUGAGGGGUAGCUGGAAUUCCUAGUGUAGGAGUGGAAUCCGUAGAUAUUAGGAGGAACACCAAUGGCGUAGGCAGGCUACUGGCGCAUUACUGACACUGAGGCACGAAAGCGUGGGGAGCGAACGGGAUUAGAUACCCCGGUAGUCCACGCCGUAAACGAUGGAUGCUAGCAGUACGAGGUAUCGACCCCUUGUGUUGCGAAGCUAACGCGUUAAGCAUCCCGCCUGGGGAGUACGGUCGCAAGAUUAAAACUCAAAGGAAUUGACGGGGACCCGCACAAGCGGUGGAGCGUGUUGUUUAAUUGGAUGAUAAGCCAAGAACCUUACCCAGACUUGACAUCCUUGGAAGGACUACGAAAGUAGACUGUGCCUUUUGGAACCAAGUGACAGGUGUUGCAUGGCCGUCGUCAGCUCGUGUCGUGAGAUGUUGGGUUAAGUCCCGCAACGAGCGCAACCCUUAUGUUUAGUUGGAUUUUUCUAAACAGACUGCCUCGGUAACGGGGAGGAAGGGGGGGAUGAUGUCAGGUCCGUAUUACCCUUACGUCUGGGGCUACAAACACGCUACAAUGGACAGUACAAUGGGCAGCCAAGUCGCGAGACGGAGCAAAUCCCACCAAAGCUGUUCUCAGUUCGGAUAGCAGGCUGAAACUCGCCUGCUUGAAGCCGGAAUCGCUAGUAACCUGCGAGUCAGCACAUCGCGGUGAAUACGUUCCCGGGUCUUGUACACACCGCCCGUCACACCACGAAAGUCGCCAACACCCGAAGUACGACGUUUGUCGUCCUAAGGUGGGGGAGGUGAUUGGGGUGAAGUCGUAACAAGGUAACCGUA
rnacentral:rRNA from 1 species